rnacentral:tRNA from 1 species
CAGGGAGACAACAAAAUGUUUAAUUUUAUAAUUUUGUCACCUUAGGUCGAUCGGUAUCUCACGUUCUUAAUCUUUUAAGAAUUUCAUUUCCUAAGUUUUUCUAGGUCACACCCAUUAUUUUUCCUGGGCCAUUAGCUCAGGUGGUUAGAGCGCACCCCUGAUAAGGGUGAGGUCCCUGGUUCAAGUCCAGGAUGGCCCAUAUCUCUAUGUUGGGGGUAUAGCUCAGUUGGUAGAGCGCCUGCUUUGCAAGCAGGAUGUCAGCGGUUCGAGUCCGCUUACCUCCACUGAUUACCACCUCUGCCAUAAUUUGUUAAAAGGAAAUAUUAUGAGUUGUGAUCAAAUUCUGAACGAAUCUAGCUUCCUAAUAAAGACAUUAAGAUGCUGGACUCAUUGAAUUAAUUUCAUUGUUUUCAGAGAACCUUGACAACUGCAUAGAUUAUUUUUAAAGACAAUAAGCAUCUUUAUUGAUGCAGAUUUAUUAUUUUUGCUAAUGCAUUAAUAACAAUUCUAUUAAGCUGAUGCUUCAAUUAUGAAGUUAUU